rnacentral:rRNA from 2 species
CGGUGAUAAACCGGAGGAAGGUGGGGAUGACGUCAAGUCAUCAUGGCCCUUACGGCCAGGGCUACACACGUGCUACAAUGGCGCGUACAGAGGGCUGCAAGCUAGCGAUAGUGAGCGAAUCCCAAAAAGCGCGUCGUAGUCCGGAUCGGAGUCUGCAACUCGACUCCGUGAAGUCGGAAUCGCUAGUAAUCGCAAAUCAGAAUGUUGCGGUGAAUACGUUCCCGGGCCUUGUACACACCGCCCGUCACACCAUGGGAGUGGGUUGCACCAGAAGUAGAUAGCUUAACCUUCGGGAGGGCGUUUACCACGGUGUG